CUCUCAAAUCAGAGUUACUGUGACCUUGUGGUGAAUUUUCAGGUGUGUAUGGCCCUUUAAUACGUGAACGAGCAUGUCGGACCGGAGCGCGCAUGGAGGCGGGCACGGGCUUCUCUCGGAAGAGAGUCAGAGUAACAUUUUAGUUGUGUGGACGCGCUUGUGUGUCUCUCGUGAAUAAACAUGUCCAGAACUGAA